AAAUUGGCAUGUAAUUUAUAGUUAACUGCAUAGGUAAUAAUGGGUAGUAUAUUAUGAGAUGUGAUUUACUAUAACAACAGGAAAAACUUGUAUAUAUUACUUUUGACUACAACGAUAGAAUU